CCACUGGGUCCAGGACUCGAACUGCGGUCAGCCAUGUGAGAGUUCAGCAAUGUAACCAUUACAACAUCUGCAGGCCCCAAGUUGGAAGACUAAGUCACUAAUUUUCCAUCUUUAUUUGUUUCUGACUUGUGUGUUUCCAUCUGAGCAUUGCUUUAACUUCACUCUCCAAAUUUUGUGCUGGCCUCAUCUCCAGAGUGAGGACGAACAUCAUGUGAAGAGUGAGAGGUGGCCACAUUGAGCCUUGGGGUGGACAGAAACCAAUGGGGAAGACCUGGGCUUCGUGUACCAACCUGACCUGGCAGAGACCAGGCCUUGAGACUGCAACCCCAGAAGCAGAUGUGCUCAAGGAAGAUAAGAACUUCUGCCCUGAUUACCAGGUUCACCCGACCCAGCCACAGCUGAAAAUAACAACCAUGACAUCAACAAGUCUCCUCCGUGGGAUCAGCCAAGGAGAUGACGAACUGCUGGCGGGACAAAAUAGCAUAUAGCUCCGCUCCUUGUGUCCCUUGAAACAUCCCUCUCAUCAGACCAGGACUUGGAAGAUGGUCUUUGGGCACUAAUCCACCAUCUCCCCCUCCUCUCUAGCUUCCUGGA